rnacentral:rRNA from 1 species
UACGGAGGGGACUAGCGUUGUUCGGAAUUACUGGGCGUAAAGCGCACGUAGGCGGAUUUGUAAGUCAGGGGUGAAAUCCCGGGGCUCAACCUCGGAACUGCCUUUGAUACUGCAAAUCUCGAGUCCGGAAGAGGUGAGUGGAAUUCCUAGUGUAGAGGUGAAAUUCGUAGAUAUUAGGAAGAAACACCAGUGGCGAAGGCGGCUCACUGGACCGGUACUGACGCUGAUGCGCGAAAGCGUGGGGAGCAAACGGGG